rnacentral:rRNA from 1 species
UACGUAGGGGGCAAGCGUUGUCCGGAAUUAUUGGGCGUAAAGAGCUCGUAGGCGGUCCAUUAAGUCGGAAGUGAAAUCUCAGGGCUCAACCCUGAAAUUGCUUUCGAUACUGGUGGACUUGAGGCAGGUAGGGGAAGGUGGAAUUCCGGGUGUAGUGGUGAAAUGCGUAGAUAUCCGGAGGAACACCAGUGGCGAAGGCGACUUUCUGGCCUGUUCUUGACGCUGAGGCGCGAAAGCUAGGGGAGCAAACGGG